rnacentral:rRNA from 1 species
UACGUAGGGGGCAAGCGUUGGCCGGAAUCAUUGGGCGUAGAGAGCGUUGAGGCUGCCCGAUAAGUCCGCUGUGAAAGUCCAGGGCUCAACCCUGGGAUGCCGGUGGAUACUGUCGGGCUCGAGUCCGGAAGAGGAGUGUGGAAUUCCUGGUGUAGCGGUGAAAUGCGCAGAUAUCAGGAGGAACACCGGUGGCGAAGGCGGUUUCCUGGCCGAGUACUGACGCUGAGGCACGAAAGCGUGGGGAGCGAACGGG